UUACUAAGUAGUCUUGAGACUUUUGAACUCACAAAUCCAGGCUUCCAUUGCUUUUUAAGUAGCACCUUCCUGGCAUAGAAAACAGUCAUAGGUGGUCACAUCCACUUUGAGAUUUCCUGGGAAGAGCCCUCUGUUCAGCUACAGCGUGGUACCUGCAUCCUCAGCAGAUAAUGAGAGUGAGACCCAGAGGAUGAUUGCCAAUGGCCACAUAGACAACAGAAGGCCCGAUAAUUGAACCCAGGUUCUCUGGCUCCAAGGACAAUGUUCUUUCUACUGAAUCAUAUUUAUUUCUAUAAUAAUAUGAUAAUAUUUUCAAUAAAGUCUUACUCCUCAACAAAGUCCAAUUUCAUGUUUAGGCUAAGAGAUAAAAGUGACCUAGGAUUAUUGGUGGGUAUUCCAGUGGAAUGCAAGUUCAAGAAAAUCUUACUAAAAGAAGAGAAUGAAACA